AACGAACGCUGGCGGCAUGCCUAACACAUGCAAGUCGAACGGGACCUUCGGGUCUAGUGGCGCACGGGUGCGUAACGCGUGGGAACCUGCCCUUAGGUUCGGAAUAACUCCCCGAAAGGGGUGCUAAUACCGGUUAAUGUCUUCGGACCAAAGAUUUAUCGCCUUUGGAUGGGCCCGCGUUGGAUUAGCUAGUUGGUAGGGUAAAAGCCUACCAAGGCGACGAUCCAUAGCUGGUCUGAGAGGAUGAUCAGCCACACUGGGACUGAGACACGGCCCAGACUCCUACGGGAGGCAGCAGUGGGGAAUAUUGGACAAUGGGCGAAAGCCUGAUCCAGCAAUGCCGCGUGAGUGAUGAAGGCCUUAGGGUUGUAAAGCUCUUUUACCCGGGAUGAUAAUGACAGUACCGGGAGAAUAAGCUCCGGCUAACUCCGUG
rnacentral:rRNA from 1 species